UAUUUAUAAUACGCUUAACAGAGCACAGUCAUGUAAAGAAUCAUCCUUCAGUGGUUUUCAUCUGCUCCUGAGAAUGUCCCUGGGUGGUGAAUGAGCUUGCAAGUAGGCUUCCAAGGAACACUCUGCAGCUGUGAAGCUGGAAUAGCUGAAAUGGUUCACAGACUCCAAUCCAAGUGUACAGGUAAUUAUUCAAAGGGAGCACCUGAGAAUCCCUGAAGCCUCUGACCAAUACAGAAAAUGUUAUGCUGAGGGACAGAGCCAGUAGUUUCAACCAUAGCAGCAGCAGAAGCAAAAGAGAGAACCAGAUUUUGACCGGUCAGAGAGGUGAAGCAUCACCACUGUACAAAUAGGAUCCUCCAGGUUUUUCAAAAGAAGGGGAGGAACAGUUGUAUGUCAGCAGACUGAAGAGGUAUUUGGCAGAGUUUGAAUCAGCUCUAAAGUUGAGGAUCCGAUCCCAUCUUAACUCAAAGGAUGUAGCAAGAAGAAAUCAAACUUCACAAGAAGUUGAGGAUUUGAAAAAAGGAUGGCAUUCAUGUUUUGAAUUCCUGGAUUAAUGGCUCUGGAUGGAGUCCAUUUAAGAUUAAGAUAGCCAAGAGCCGUCCUUCCAGCCCCACACUGUGCAGACCUGGGAGAAAGGAGGAAGUGGUCCUCAUCCUAAGGAAUUUAAACUGUGAGAAAAGUGGUGAUGAGAUACAAGUCAUGCUAAUUUCAAGUGUUAAUGAAGCAGAAUCCAUCCCGAUGUGAAGGUGUGAAAUGGGAUAGUAAUAUGAAAAUGCCUCCAGUUUCUUAGAUGAAAAGCCUCUUACAGAACCGAUGUAUUCUACUUCUUUUUUCUCCGAAAUCAUAACCAUGACAUUUCACUUUUUUCUCUUGCUUCAGCCUCUUGUGCUUUGCUCAAAAGGAGUUCCCUUUGCUCCCUCACGUAAAAUAAACAUAAUUUAAAG
rnacentral:lncRNA from 7 species